AGCAAAUCCUGUGGAAAAACAUAGAGAUUGGCUCAGAACAACACUUCUUAUGAUGUCAGCCAAGCAGGCAGAUCAGGGGCCAGAACCAGCAGCUGCAGACUUGAACAAAAGUAAGAUUUUACUAUACUUAGGGGGGCCAGGGCAUCUAGAUUGUGGUUUUUAGCACUAUAGGGUGAGGAAUACAUCAUCCUCUUAAUUUUUUUUUAGCAGAUAUAAAUAAU